ACUUCCGUUCAGGCUGGUACAAGCUUACUGCUGGUUUGAAGGUCUUGCGGGCCAGCUCACAGUUAGCUGUGAAAUUAUUUGGAUUUUGGAAUCAGCAAAUGUGUCUGGUUUAAUCCUAAGUUCUAGUACACAAAUGAUUUCCAAAGUUAUUUGAAAAUACUGGACAAAAAAAUUCUUUUACUAGCAGAGCAAGGUCGUGUAGAAAGGGGAGUUAGGUGGUACGGCCAUUUCUUCCGCCUUCCGUGUCUGCGGCCCUCGCAGAACUUCCAGCAGCGACAUGUUGGGCCAGAGUAUCCGGAGGUUCACGACCUCCGUGGUCCGUCGCAGCCACUAUGAGGAGGGUCCGGGGAAGAAUUUGCCAUUUUCAGUGGAAAACAAGUGGCGGUUGCUGGCUAUGAUGACCGUGUACUUUGGAUCUGGGUUUGCCGCACCUUUCUUUAUAGUAAGACACCAGCUACUUAAAAAAUAAGGAUAUUUAAUUCAUCCCUUUAACAGAAUGAAGAAAGUUUAAGAGAUGAUCUGAAAAUUGGAUUAAACUCUUGAACUCUUAUACUAGAAAAAAUUGUAAAUAAACUAAUGACAUAAAAAAAAAAAAAAA